rnacentral:rRNA from 1 species
UACGUAGGGUGCGAGCGUUAAUCGGAAUUACUGGGCGUAAAGCGUGCGCAGGCGGUUCGCCAAGUCAGGUGUGAAAUCCCCGGGCUCAACCUGGGAAUUGCGAUGGAGACUGCAAGGCUAGAAUCUGGCAGAGGGAGGUAGAAUUCCACGUGUAGCAGUGAAAUGCGUAGAGAUGUGGAGGAAUACCGAUGGCGAAGGCAGCCUCCUGGGCCAACACUGACGCUCAUGCACGAAAGCGUGGGGAGCAAACAGG